CUACCAGGGGAGGAAACGGCUCCACCGUUUUUUUUCAUUAAGAGGAAGCCGGCUUACCUAGGUAGAGAACGGCCCCAAUCGGCAGUGAUGACUUCAUCUACAAUAUGCUAAAAUACGAUGGCGUUGAUGCUAGGGGCGGAUUUAGGAGGAUGGUGCAGGGGCUCAAAGCCCCCUCCCCUUAUUAUCCAAGAACUCCAAUGAAAACAUAAGGAGGAGAAGAAAGGGAAAACGAGGAAGGAGUGCAUAUAGAGGGAGGAGUAAGCCCUCUAUACUCCACAUUUGUCUCCGCCACUGUUAAAGCUGAAUCCUUGAUGGCUAUUUGUCUUUUUAAUUGAACUAGUCUAGUGCAUAUGCGUUGCUAUGUGUAAUAUAACAGAUCUACAUAGUACCAUCAACUUUAUGUUCAUUCACUUCAUAUACAGGCCAUGCAUGCUCUGAUUGUGCAAGACAUUGAUUGUUUGUGUUCCGAUUUGGAUUUUGAUUGAUUUGUACGGGUUCCGAUUAGAAUCCGAAUCAAUUUGUCCGGACACCGAUUAGGAUUCCGAUUGACGGACUAAGAAAAUAUUGCUUGCUUUAGAAAUAGUAGAGAUAAAAGUAGAGCUACUAUUAGUUGUUCAUCCUUGUCCCUUUUAUUUCCCUUUUGUGUGGUUUACUGAUAUUGAUAUCAUGAUACGCUAUUACUGUAUAAAAAAAGUUUUUGUGCUCUGGUUUCUUUAUUCUCUCUUUGGAUUACAUUUUCUUACCAGAAUUUGCUUCCAUUUUGUCCCACAAAGAUUUUCCUUUUUUUUUUUAAAAAAAGAAAUAGUACUUUAGAUGCACACCUUUAUGUUCUGACCUUUGCCACCGUUCUCUCCUGGCUAGGAUCCAGCGUUCUCGCUGAAUUGCCACUGCUUGGACUGGAAGCACUUUGAACUGCAGACGCUACACCGGCACUGGCAAACCACUGUGGCAUCCUCUGCAUGUGUGCACACUGGAGCUGCAUCCUGCAAAUGGUCCCAAGCAAACCUGUAGCGGAUUAACCGAGCGAUCGUCGCGUCUUGGAGUUACGCUUGUGCAAACGGGUUGGACAGAGCGCCGCAGCAUCUUCUCCUCCGAAUCGUUUCGACGCCCAUCGUGCAGCCGCUUGGCUCGGCAGGUCACGGGCUCGGCUCAAAGAUGCAGGCGCUGUGGCCGCGGCUGUCUGGCUGCCAUGGAUUCCGGCAGAUGCCCUCAAGGAAUCGUAAUGUAUCUGCGUAUACUAUAAUGUUAGGGGCGAUCAGUGCUCAGCAUUGACUAUCCAUAAUCAUAGUUCAGUUUCAGACAACUGCUGGCACGCA